UACGUAGGGUGCAAGCGUUGUCCGGAAUUAUUGGGCGUAAAGAGCUCGUAGGCGGUUUGUUGCGUCGGCUGUGAAAACCUGAGGCUCAACCUCAGGCCUGCAGUCGAUACGAGCAGACUAGAGUGUUGCAGGGGAGACUGGAAUUCCUGGUGUAGCGGUGAAAUGCGCAGAUAUCAGGAGGAACACCGGUGGCGAAGGCGGGUCUCUGGGCCGAUACUGACGUGAGGAGCGAAAGCGUGGGGAGCGAACAGG
rnacentral:rRNA from 1 species